rnacentral:rRNA from 1 species
UACGGGGGGGGCAAGCGUUGUUCGGAAUUACUGGGCGUAAAGGGCUCGUAGGUGGCCAACUAAGUCGGUCGUGAAAUCCCUCAGCUUAACUGGGGAACUGCGUCCGAUACUGGAUGGCUCGAGUUUGGGAGAGGGAUGCGGAAUUCCAGGUGUAGCGGUGAAAUGCGUAGAUAUCUGGAGGAACACCGGUGGCGAAGGCGGCAUCCUGGACCAACACUGACACUGAGGAGCGAAAGCCAGGGGAGCAAACGGG